rfam:Echinostoma caproni strain Egypt genome assembly, scaffold: ECPE_scaffold0003754
ACACUGCUGACAAGUCCCAAACAGGACGAAACAGCUCUGUCCAGUAC